GAGGCCUUAGCUUAAUAAGAGCAUCUGGGUUGCAUUCAGAACGUGUGAGUUAGCUACUCGCAGGUCUUA
rnacentral:tRNA from 1 species